GGUUUAGUUAAAAGGUUAUAGCGUUGGUUUCCAAAACCAAAAGUAAAGGUUCAAUUCCUUUAAC
rnacentral:tRNA from 1 species